GAUGAACGCUGGCGGCGUGCCUAAUACAUGCAAGUCGAGCGAACAGAUGAGGAGCUUGCUCCUCUGACGUUAGCGGCGGACGGGUGAGUAACACGUGGAUAACCUACCUAUAAGACUGGGAUAACUUCGGGAAACCGGAGCUAAUACCGGAUCAUAUAUUGAACCGCAUGGUUCAAUAGUGAAAGACGGUUUUGCUGUCACUUAUAGAUGGAUCCGUGCCGCAUUAGCUAGUUGGUAAGGUAACGACUUACCAAGGCAACGAUGCGUAGCCGACCUGAGAGGGUGAUCGGCCACACUGGAACUGAGACACGGUCCAGACUCCUACGGGAGGCAGCAGUAGGGAAUCUUCCGCAAUGGGCGAAAGCCUGACGGAGCAACGCCGCGUGAGUGAUGAAGGUCUUCGGAUCGUAAAACUCUGUUAUUAGGGAAGAAAAACUGUGGAAGUAACUAUGCACGUCUUGACGGUACCUAAUCAGAAAGCCACGGCUAACUACGUG
rnacentral:rRNA from 1 species